rnacentral:ncRNA from 1 species
UCACGACCAUAGCAAACCAAAAGAAAUUUUGGGACGCAAAGCCUCCGGUCUUAAUCCUGGCUACAGGAAAGAUAGCGGGGUUGCCGAA